ACAAGUACCGUGAGGGAAAGUUGAAAAGAACUUAGAGGUGAGAGUUCAACAGGGCGUAAAACCGCUUAGAAGUAAACGGAUGGUGCUGACAUUGUUUCUGCCGGAUUCAGCCGGCCUGAUGGUUGCUCGUCUGUUCGCCGAUCGCAAGACGGCGUUCAGAGUGUCUGCGAUCUAGGGCUGGUGCAUUUUCGGUGGAAUGCAUCAUGACCGUUGAUGACGCCGGCAUAAGGCCUGUUGGUUGCAGAUUGUUGGUCUUCGGACUAGCAGUGACCCGCUCACAGGACCCUGUCCGGGUUGGCGUCAACGGAUAACUGGACGCGCCCGAUUCUUCUCGUCCAGUGCUGUCUUUUGGCUGGCUGAAAGGUCCAGCUGUGCUUGCACGGUGGGACAACCCUCAGUCAAUACGUGCAGUGCUGGUUCGAGUGGCGCUGAAGGUCUAUGGUGUCCGCGUCAGUCUCCCAUCCGACCCGUCUUGAAACACGGACCAAGGAGUCUAACAUGUGCGCAAGUCAUGGGGUUGAAAACCCAAAGGCGUAAUGAAAGUAAAGGCCGUAAGGCUGAGGUGUGAUGUUCAGUUUUACUGAAUCGCAACACCGUCCCAUCGCAUCGGCUCGUCCGGGCGGUGGAGAAAGAGCGUACACGUUGGGACCCGAAAGAUGGUGAACUAUGCCUGAGCAGGAUGAAGCCAGAGGAAACUCUGGUGGAGGUCCGUAGCGGUUCUGACGUGCAAAUCGAUCGUCAGACUUGGGUAUAGGGGCGAAAGACUAAUCGAACCAUCUAGUAGCUGGUUCCUUCCGU
rnacentral:rRNA from 1 species